UACGAGGGGGGCAAGCGUUGUUCGGAAUUAUUGGGCGUAAAGGGCGCGUAGGCGGUUUGACAAGUCUGAUGUGAAAUCUAUGGGCUCAACCCAUAGCCUGCAUUAGAAACUGUCGGGCUUGAGUAUGGGAGAGGUGAGUGGAAUUUCCGGUGUAGCGGUGAAAUGCGUAGAUAUCUGGAGGAACACCGGUGGCGAAGGCGGCAUCCUGGACCGGUAUUGACGCUGAGGCGCGAAAGCCAGGGGAGCAAACGGG
rnacentral:rRNA from 1 species